rnacentral:rRNA from 1 species
GACGAACGCUGGCGGCGUGCUUAACACAUGCAAGUCGAACGGAAAGGCCCUGCUUUUGUGGGGUGCUCGAGUGGCGAACGGGUGAGUAACACGUGAGUAACCUGCCCUUGACUUUGGGAUAACUUCAGGAAACUGGGGCUAAUACCGGAUAGGAGCUCCUGCUGCAUGGUGGGGGUUGGAAAGUUUCGGCGGUUGGGGAUGGACUCGCGGCUUAUCAGCUUGUUGGUGGGGUAGUGGCUUACCAAGGCUUUGACGGGUAGCCGGCCUGAGAGGGUGACCGGGCCCAGUGGAGUACGGGGGCGACCAGGGGGGAAGCUGGAGCCAGCGGGGGGGCAUUGUGCAAGAUGGGCGGAGGGCGGAAGGAGGGACUCCGGGUUGGGGACGGCGGCUUUCGGGGAGGAAAUCCUUUUGGCCAGUAACGAGGCGUGAUGGAGGGACAUGAAUAAAGAGGAACGGCUAAAUAACGG